AAGACUAUGUCCUCUUUUUGUGGUAGUUUUUCUUCUUUUAAAUAGAGUCUCCUCCUUUACUGUGUUGAUUCCCUUUAUGUAUUUAAAUGUUUCUAUCAUAUCCCCGCUGUCUCGUCUUUCCUCCAAGCUAUACAUGUUAAGAUCCUUUAACCUUUCCUGGUGAGUUUUAUCCUGCAAUCCAUGAACCAGUUUAGUAGCCCUUCUCUGAACUCGCUCUAAAGUAUCAAUAUCCUUCUGGAGAUAUGGUCUCCAGUACUGCGUACAAUAUUCCAAGUGAGGUCUCACCAGUGUUCUGUAUAAUGGCAUGAGCACUUCCCUCUUUCUGUUGCCAAUACCUCUCCCUAUACAACCAAACAUUCUACUAGCAUUCCUGCUCUAUUAUAUUGCCUGCCUACCUUAAAGUCAUCAGAAAUAAUUACCCCUAAAUCCCUUUCCUCAGAUGUUGAGGUUAGGCUAUCAAAUAUUCUGUACUCUGCCCUUGGGGUUUUACGUCCAAGAUGGAUUAUCUUGCACUCAUCCACAUUAAAUGUCAGUUGCUGCAACUCUGACCAUUUUUCUAGUUUACCUAAAUCAUUUGUCAUUUGGCUUAUCCCUCCUGGAACAUCAACCCUGUUAAAUAUCUUGGUAUCGUCAGCAAAAAGACAUACCUUACCAUCAAGACCUUCUGCAAUAUCACUAAUAAAAAUAUUAAAGAGAAUGGGUCCAAGAACAGAUCCCUGAGUUACCCCACUGGUGACAAGCCUAUGCUUCGAAUAUACUCCAUUGACUACAACCCUCUGUUGCCUGUCACUCAGCCACUGAAAUCUACGUAAGUAAUGUCUACUGCACCACCCUUAACUAUUAUUUUAGUUACCCAAUCAAAAAAAUCAAUAAGAUUAGUUUGGCAUGAUCUCCCUGAAGUAAACCCAUGUUGUCUCUGAUCUUGGAAUCCAUGUGAUUUUAGAUGUUCAACAAGCCUAUCCUUUAACAUGGUUUCCAUUUCUUUCCCCACUACUGAAGUAAGGCUAACUGGCCUGUAGUUGCCCGAUUCCUCCCUUCCUUUUUUGUGAAUGGGGACAACAUUCGCUAAC